rnacentral:rRNA from 1 species
UACGGAGGGUGCAAGCGUUAUCCGGAUUCACUGGGUUUAAAGGGUGCGUAGGAGGGCAGGUAAGUCAGUGGUGAAAUCCCCAGGCUUAACCUGGGAACGGCAUCCGAUACUGGAGGGCUUGAAUUCGGGAGAGGGAUGCAGAAUUCCAGGUGUAGCGGUGAAAUGCGUAGAUAUCUGGAGGAAUACCGGUGGCGAAGGCGGCAUCCUGGACCGAGAUUGACGCUGAGGAGCGAAAGCUAGGGGAGCAAACGGG